CCUACGGGAGGCAGCAGUGAGGAAUAUUGGUCAAUGGACGAGAGUCUGAACCAGCCAAGCAGCGUGAAGGAUGACUGCUCUAAGCGUUGUAAACUUCUUUUACAUGGGAAUAAAAUGUCCCACUUGUGGGAUUUUGUAUGUACCCUAUGAAUAAGGAUCGGCUAACUCCUUGCCAGCAGCCGCGGUAAUACUGAGGAUCCGAGCGUUAUCCGGAUUCAUUGGGUUUAAAGGGAGCGUAGGUGGGUUGUUAAGCCAGUUGUGAAAUUUUGCGGCUCAACCGUAAAAUUGCAGUUGAAACGGGGAGUCUUGAGUACAGUAGAGGUAGGCGGAAUUCGUGGUGUAGCGGUGAAAUGCUUAGAUAUCGCGAAGAACUCCGAUUGCGAAGGCAGCGGACUGGACUGCAACUGACACUGAGGCUCGAAAGUGUGGGGAUCGAACAGGAUUAGAUACCCUUGUAGUC
rnacentral:rRNA from 1 species